rnacentral:rRNA from 1 species
GGCGCGGGAAUUCGAUUGUCGACAACAGAGUUCGAUCCUGCUCAGAACGAACGCUGGCGGCAGGCUUAAUACAUGCAAGUCGAACGGCUGUAGCAAUACAGCAGUGGCAGACGGGUGAGUAACACGUGGGAACCUACCUAGGGGUACGGAAUAACUCAGGGAAACUUGUGCUAAUACCGUAUACGACCUCAGGGUGAAAGAUUUAUCGCCCCUAGAUGGGCCCGCGUUGGAUUAGCUAGUUGGUGAGGUAAAAGCUCACCAAGGCGACGAUCCAUAGCUGGUCUGAGAGGAUGAUCAGCCACACUGGGACUGAGACACGGCCCAGACUCCUACGGGAGGCAGCAGUAGGGAAUCUUGGACAAUGGGCGAAAGCCUGAUCCAGCCAUGCCGCGUGAGUGAUGAAGGCCUUAGGGUUGUAAAGCUCUUUCGCCAGGGAAGAUAAUGACGGUACCUGGAUAAGAAGCCCCGGCUAACUUCGUGCCAGCAGCCGCGGUAAUACGAAGGGGGCUAGCGUUGUUCGGAAUUACUGGGCGUAAAGCGCACGUAGGCGGUUUUCCAAGUUGGAGGUGAAAUCCCCGGGCUUAACCUGNGAACUGCCUCCAAGACUGGGAGACUCGAGUCCGAGAGAGGUGAGUGGAAUUUCAGUGUAGAGGUGAAAUUCGUAGAUAUUGGAAAGAACACCAGUGGCGAAGGCGGCUCACUGGCUCCGUACUGACGCU